AUUGAACGCUGGCGGCAGGCCUAACACAUGCAAGUCGAACGAGUGGCGGACGGGUGAGUAAUGUCUGGGAAACUGCCCGAUGGAGGGGGAUAACUACUGGAAACGGUAGCUAAUACCGCAUACCAUCGGAUGUGCCCAUAUGGGAUUAGCUAUUAGGGGGGGUAACGGCUCACCUAGGCGACGAUCCCUAGCUGGUCUGAGAGGCUGACCAGCCACACUGGAACUGAGACACGGGCAAGACUACUACGGGAGGAAGCAGUGGGGAAUAUGGCACAAUGGGCGCAAGCCUGAUAGAGCCAUGCCGCGUGUAUGAAGAAGGCCUUCGGGUUGUAAAGUACUUUCAGCGAGGAGGCGUUACUCGCAGAAGAAGCACCGGCUAACUCCGUGCCAGCAGCCGCGGUAAUAC
rnacentral:rRNA from 1 species